rnacentral:rRNA from 1 species
GAUGAACGCUGGCGGCGUGCCUAAUACAUGCAAGUCGAGCGAACAGACGAGGAGCUUGCUCCUCUGACGUUAGCGGCGGACGGGUGAGUAACACGUGGAUAACCUACCUAUAAGACUGGGAUAACUUCGGGAAACCGGAGCUAAUACCGGAUAAUAUGUUGAACCGCAUGGUUCAAAAGUGAAAGACGGUCUUGCUGUCACUUAUAGAUGGAUCCGCGCCGCAUUAGCUAGUUGGUAAGGUAACGGCUUACCAAGGCAACGAUGCAUAGCCGACCUGAGAGGGUGAUCGGCCACACUGGAACUGAGACACGGUCCAGACUCCUACGGGAGGCAGCAGUAGGGAAUCUUCCGCAAAGGGCGAAAGCCUGACGGAGCAACGCCGCGUGAGUGAUGAAGGUCUUCGGAUCGUAAAACUCUGUUAUUAGGGAAGAACAAAUGUGUAAGUAACUAUGCACGUCUUGACGGUACCUAAUCAGAAAGCCACGGCUAACUACGUG